rnacentral:rRNA from 1 species
UACUAGAGUAGCACUCGCAUAUCAAUAAGCGGAGGAAAAGAAACUAACAAGGAUUCCCCUAGUAACGGCGAGUGAAGCGGGAAGAGCUCAAAUUUGAAAUCUUAAAGGGUUUCCCUUUACGAAUUGUAGUUUAAAGAAGUGUUUUCUGUUGAGGUUUUGGUAAAAGUUCUUUGGAAUAGGACAUCAUAGAGGGUGAGAAUCCCGUAUUUGACCUUUACUUUCAACUUUGUGAUACACUUUCAAAGAGUCGGAUUGUUUGGGAAUGCAGUCCAAAAUGGGUGGUAAAUUUCAUCUAAAGCUAAAUAUUGGCGAGAGACCGAUAGCGAACAAGUACCGUGAGGGAAAGAUGAAAAGAACUUUGAAAAGAGAGUUAAACAGUACGUGAAAUUGUCAAAAGGGAAGCGUUUGACACCAGUGUUGUUUUUCUGAAAAUCAAUCAAAGAACUGUUUAUGCUAAGUUGUUUAGACUUUAUCAGCUAACUGUUUAGUUUUGAGCUUUUCUUUAAUGCACUUUUCAGUUAACAAGUCAACAUCAAUUUCUUUUGCUGUAAAAAAGCUUGAGGAAGGUGGCUUGAGAUUCGUCUUAAGUGUUUAUAGCCUCUUGCCUAUGCAGUCGGAGAGAUUGAGGUCUGCAGCGUAGAUCCUUCGGGGCUAAAUGCAUUUGUGCUAAGUUAUAGCAUUUUAUAGACAACUUGUUGACUAUGAUUUGUCUUGUAGCUUACUCGCUUAUGUUAUUUUACCUACGCUUAGGAUGUUGAGUAGCGACAUACGCAC